rnacentral:rRNA from 1 species
AUUGAACGCUGGCGGCAGGCCUAACACAUGCAAGUCGAGCGGAUGAAGGGAGCUUGCUCCUGGAUUCAGCGGCGGACGGGUGAGUAAUGCCUAGGAAUCUGCCUGGUAGUGGGGGAUAACGUCCGGAAACGGGCGCUAAUACCGCAUACGUCCUGAGGAAGAGAGUGGGGGAUCUUCGGACCUCACGUUACCAGAUGAGCCUAGGUCGGAUUAGCUAGUUGGUGGGGUAAAGGCCUACCAAGGCGACGAUCCGUCACUGGUCUGAGAGGAUGAUCAGUCACACUGGAACUGAGACACGGUCCAGACUCCUACGGGAGGCAGCAGUGGGGAAUAUUGGACAAUGGGCGGAAGCCUGAUCCAGCCAUGCCGCGUGUGUGAAGAAGGUCUUCGGAUUGUAAAGCACUUUAAGUUGGGAGGAAGGGCAGUAAGUUAAUACCUUGCUGUUUUGACGUUACCAACAGAAUAAGCACCGGCUAACUUCGUG